CCUACGGGAGGCAGCAGUGAGGAAUAUUGGUCAAUGGCCGGAAGGCUGAACCAGCCAUGCCGCGUGAAGGUCAGUGCCCUAUGGGCGUUAAACUUCUUUUGUGCGGGAGCAAUAAUGGUCACGUGUGGCCAGACGAGAGUACCGUACGAAUAAGCAUCGGCUAACUCCGUGCCAGCAGCCGCGGUAAUACGGGGGAUGCAAGCGUUAUCCGGAUUUAUUGGGUUUAAAGGGUGCGUAGGCUGUGAGGUAAGUCAGCGGUGAAAUGCCCCCGCUCAACGGGGUGAAGGGCCAUUGAUACUGCCUGGCUGGAAUGCGGAAGCCGUGGGAGGAAUGUGUGGUGUAGCGGUGAAAUGCAUAGAUAUCACACAGAACACCGAUUGCGAAGGCAUCUCACGAAUCCGCGAUUGACGCUGAUGCACGAAAGCGUGGGUAUCAAACAGGAUUAGAUACCCCAGUAGUC
rnacentral:rRNA from 1 species